rnacentral:rRNA from 1 species
UACGUAGGGUGCGAGCGUUAAUCGGAAUUACUGGGCGUAAAGCGUGCGCAGGCGGUUUUGUAAGCCAGAUGUGAAAUCCCCGGGCUUAACCUGGGAAUGGCAUUUGGGGACUGCAAGGCUGGAGUGCGGCAGAGGAGACUGGAAUUCCUGGUGUAGCAGUGAAAUGCGUAGAUAUCGAGAGGAACACCUGCGGCGAAGGCGGGUUGCUGGGCCGACACUGACGCUGAUGCGCGAAAGCCAGGGGAGCGAACGGGG